UGAGUACUUGGUAUAUCUUAAUGACCUGCAUAAUGUGGCUGAUUGUGCCAUUAACAGACCUGCCAACCCUUCUGUCUCUCCAGUGUCUGUUAGGCCUCAUCACUCUACGCCUAUUCCUAGUUCACUGACACCCAUUUCUGCUUCUUUCAGUCACAGACCCUCUAAUGUCAACAUCCAAGAGUCCCUGCUGCUCUGACCAGAAUCCCAUCAGUGCUGCAGCUCACCUUCAUCUCCUGGGAGAAUCCUUAUCCCUGAUUGGACGCUAUCUCCAGGAGACAGAUAAAAUGGUGUGUAUGUCAAGUAGUUUCUCUCUACUCUUGGACUCUCUGCUGUGUGCUAUGGCUCCACUUACUGGCCUCACCGUGCACGUACCAGAGCUGAGGAGCUGCACGCAGCACACAAUGGCCUCCACCUUGGAAAACAUUGCUUAUGUGAUGCCAGGCCUGUGAGUGAAAGGAGACCCCUAUUGGCUCUACACAGCAAUAAUAAACUGAAAGACACUUUGUUAGUUGAUGCUUAAAAAAUAAAUCAGGGUCAUUUUGUUUUGAGAAUAUGUUUGUUUGCACUUUGAAUGGUAUCUUUUUUUCUAAAACACAAU